AUUCCAAACGAACUUGGAGAUAGCUGGUUCUCUCCGAAAUAGCUUUAGGGCUAGCGUCGACAUAAAGAUUCUUGGAGGUAGAGCACUGUUUGGGUGAGGGGUCCAUCCCGGAUUACCAAUCUCAGAUAAACUCCGAAUGCCAAUGAAUUAUGGUCGGCAGUCAGACUGCGAGUGCUAAGAUCCGUAGUCGAAAGGGAAACAGCCCAGACCACCAGCUAAGGUCCCAAAAUAAUUGUUAAGUGGAAAAGGAUGUGGGGUUGCACAGACAACUAGGAUGUUAGCUUAGAAGCAGCUAUUCAUUCAAAGAGUGCGUAAUAGCUCACUAGUCGAGUGACCCUGCGCCGAAAAUGUACCGGGGCUAAAACAAUUUACCGAAGCUGUGGAUCCCUUAGGGGAUGGUAGGAGAGCGUUCUAUGUGUGGAGAAGGUGUACCGUGAGGAGCGCUGGAACGCAUAGAAGUGAGAAUGCCGGUAUGAGUAGCGAAAGACAGGUGAGAAUCCUGUCCACCGUAAGACUAAGGUUUCCAGGGGAAGGCUCGUCCGCCCUGGGUUAGUCGGGACCUAAGGAGAGACCGAAGGGUGUAUCCGAUGGCCAACAGGUUGAUAUUCCUGUACUAGAGUAUGAAGUGAUGGAGGGACGCAGUAGGCUAACUAAAGCAGACGAUUGGAAGAGUCUGUCUAAGCAGUGAGGCGUGGUAUGAGUCAAAUGCUUAUACCUAUAACGUUGAGCUGUGAUGGGGAGCGAAGUUUAGUAGCGAAGUUAGUGAUGUCACACUGCCAAGAAAAGCUUCUAGCGAUGUAUCAUACUCUACCCGUACCGCAAACCGACACAGGUAGUCGAGGCGAGUAGCCUCAGGUGAGCGAGAGAACUCUCGUUAAGGAACUCGGCAAAAUGACCCCGUAACUUCGGGAGAAGGGGUGCUGAUUUAGGUCAGCCGCAGUGAAUAGGCCCAAGCAACUGUUUAUCAAAAACACAGCUCUCUGCUAAAUCGUAAGAUGAUGUAUAGGGGGUGACGCCUGCCCGGUGCUGGAAGGUUAAGAGGAGUGCUUAGCGGUAACGCGAAGGUAUGAAUUGAAGCCCCAGUAAACGGCGGCCGUAACUAUAACGGUCCUAAGGUAGCGAAAUUCCUUGUCGGGUAAGUUCCGACCCGCACGAAAGGCGUAAUGAUUUGGGCACUGUCUCAACGAGAGACUCGGUGAAAUUUUAGUACCUGUGAAGAUGCAGGUUACCCGCGACAGGACGGAAAGACCCCAUGGAGCUUUACUGCAGUUUGAUAUUGAGUGUCUGUGCCACAUGUACAGGAUAGGUAGGAGCCUAUGAGAUCGGGACGCCAGUUUCGAUGGAGGCGCUGUUGGGAUACUACCCUUGUGUUAUGGCCACUCUAACCCGGAUAGGUGAUCCCUAUCGGAGACAGUGUCUGACGGGCAGUUUGACUGGGGCGGUCGCCUCCUAAAAGGUAACGGAGGCGCCCAAAGGUUCCCUCAGACUGGUUGGAAAUCAGUCGCAGAGUGUAAAGGUAUAAGGGAGCUUGACUGCGAGAGCUACAACUCGAGCAGGGACGAAAGUCGGGCUUAGUGAUCCGGUGGUUCCGCAUGGAAGGGCCAUCGCUCAACGGAUAAAAGCUACCCUGGGGAUAACAGGCUUAUCUCCCCCAAGAGUUCACAUCGACGGGGAGGUUUGGCACCUCGAUGUCGGCUCGUCGCAUCCUGGGGCUGUAGUCGGUCCCAAGGGUUGGGCUGUUCGCCCAUUAAAGCGGCACGCGAGCUGGGUUCAGAACGUCGUGAGACAGUUCGGUCCCUAUCCGUCGCGGGCGUAGGAAAUUUGAGAGGAUCUGCUCCUAGUACGAGAGGACCAGAGUGGACUUACCGCUGGUGUACCAGUUGUCUUGCCAAAGGCAUCGCUGGGUAGCUAUGUAGGGAAGGGAUAAACGCUGAAAGCAUCUAAGUGUGAAACCCACCUCAAGAUGAGAUUUCCCAUAACGCAAGUUAGU
rnacentral:rRNA from 1 species